UUGAACGCUGGCGGCAGGCCUAACACAUGCAAGUCGAGCGGUAGAGAGAAGCUUGCUUCUCUUGAGAGCGGCGGACGGGUGAGUAAAGCCUAGGAAUCUGCCUGGUAGUGGGGGAUAACGUUCGGAAACGGACGCUAAUACCGCAUACGUCCUACGGGAGAAAGCAGGGGACCUUCGGGCCUUGCGCUAUCAGAUGAGCCUAGGUCGGAUUAGCUAGUUGGUGAGGUAAUGGCUCACCAAGGCGACGAUCCGUAACUGGUCUGAGAGGAUGAUCAGUCACACUGGAACUGAGACACGGUCCAGACUCCUACGGGAGGCAGCAGUGGGGAAUAUUGGACAAUGGGCGAAAGCCUGAUCCAGCCAUGCNNNGUGUGUGAAGAAGGUCUUCGGAUUGUAAAGCACUUUAAGUUGGGAGGAAGGGCAGUUACCUAAUACGUGAUUGUUUUGACGUUACCGACAGAAUAAGCACCGGCUAACUCU
rnacentral:rRNA from 1 species